UGGCAUUAAAUUGGCAAUAAACUCUCAAAGAGUUGGGUAAGGUAAAGAUUGAGCUGCUGGUGUUUCGCUGAUGACUACAAUUAAUUUUCUUAACGCCAACAGGUCAAUAAUGUUUACAGAUAUGGGACCUGACGCGUUUUCCUUACCGAGAGGGUCCGGGCCAGGAUAGCUCCCUCAGGCAGGGCACAAGGGAUCGAUGGCGCUCCUCAGAUCUCAUCUGACCCCCCCCCCCCAGCCCAGCCCAAUCUGCCCGGAGCAAAAUCAACGAGGGGAUCUCCUCCUCUUAGAGGGAGAAAACAACCGGGACCUGAACCCCCCUUUCUCCUGGCUCAGCAUCAGAUCAGCCUGGGAGGACCCGGUGGGGGUGACGGCUCAAGGCGCUUUGGCACCCAGACCAAGAGGCCGGUUCUCCUCCGAGGGAGGAGCGGGAGGAAAAGAGCCAAGCCAUUAAGAAAUAGCCUGGACCCUUCAGAACGCCCUGGAGAAAAUCGUACGCUGCGCUCCGACUUUCUUGCUACGGAAAGGGGCUCCGGGCACGAAGUGCAGAUGGAAUCUGGAUCGAGCCCGCCCCGGACCUUUACCUUCCUCGCAGGCGACAGCGGCUCUUGCAACCCUCCUCCCUCGGCGUCCCCUGCUCCUUGCGCUUCCUUCGUUCUUGCUGGUUUUCUACCUCCGCUGGCUUUCGAAAGCGAAAGCGACAGCGGCUGGAGCCGGGCGAAUGGUGUCCCCGCCCUGGCCAGCAGUUCGAUUCCCGGAAGAGGCUGCAGUUCCCCGCCGAUGCGGGAGCGAGUUUAUCAAGAGUUUGUUGGCUUUUCGGGUGGGUCUUGCCUCGGUUCUCCCCUUUUAUGGGGAUGUGAGUAGAGCAGCAGAAGGAAGGAAGGAAGGAAGGAAGGAAGGAAGGGAAAGAAGGAAAGAAAGAAAAAAGGAAGGAAGGAAGGAAGGAAGGAAGGAAGGAAGAAAGAAAGAAAGAAAGAAAGAAAGAAAGAAAGAAAGAAAGAAAGAAAGAAAGGGGCUGGGCUCAAUGAUCCUUCCAUAGG
rnacentral:lncRNA from 1 species